rnacentral:rRNA from 1 species
GAUGAACGCUGGCGGCGUGCCUAAUACAUGCAAGUCGAGCGAACAGACGAGGAGCUUGCUCCUCUGACGUUAGCGGCGGACGGGUGAGUAACACGUGGAUAACCUACCUAUAAGACUGGGAUAACUUCGGGAAACCGGAGCUAAUACCGGAUAAUAUAUUGAACCGCAUGGUUCAGUAGUGAAAGACGGUUUUGCUGUCACUUAUAGAUGGAUCCGCGCCGCAUUAGCUAGUUGGUAAGGUAACGGCUUACCAAGGCGACGAUGCGUAGCCGACCUGAGAGGGUGAUCGGCCACACUGGGACUGAGACACGGUCCAGACUCCUACGGGAGGCAGCAGUAGGGAAUCUUCCGCAAUGGGCGAAAGCCUGACGGAGCAACGCCGCGUGAGUGAUGAAGGUCUUCGGAUCGUAAAACUCUGUUAUUAGGGAAGAACAAAUGUGUAAGUAACUAUGCACGUCUUGACGGUACCUAAUCAGAAAGCCACGGCUAACUACGUG